AGUGCAGAGCCUGAAUAAAGGAUCAUCGUGAUAGGAUGAAACAUGUAAUUGACCAUUUUACCUACACUA
rnacentral:tRNA from 1 species